rnacentral:tRNA from 1 species
GAGGAUAUAGCUCAGUGGUAGAGUACAUGCUUACCAUGCAUGAGGUCCUGGGUUCAAUCCCCAGUACCUCCA